ACAAGAUGAAAGCCUUGAGAGCUUUGUCUCCAUCACGAAGGCGAGCGAAUGAAGACGAAGAACCUCACACGUAUUCUGGGAUGCUGCAUGGAGACGUCGACCCAGACGUGCUCGCCGGUGAGAACAUUUCCUCCUUUGUGCAUGGAGAGUAACAAGCUUCGGGCUGUAUUUUUUCCAGCAUUUCCACCACCCGGCGCAUCGUUGGUCUUUCCUCUGGAGACGCCUUUGUGCAAAGAAGAGCAACGUCGAGCAGCAUUAUCAUCUGGUCCUGUGCACUGGCGCUCACUCGGGUAUCCAGAACAACUUGCGGUCCUUUCGCUUGCACUCUGCCUUUUACCCACCUGACGAUAUCCAGGUCUCCAAAUUCACUGUCAACUGGCCUCUUGCCUGUCACUAGCUCCAGCAGGACGACUCCAAAGCUGUAAGUAUCGCUUUUCGUGCUGACCUUCAAGGUAUAGGUGUACUCUGAGAGGUGAAGGACAGGUUGGAAAGGAAUUAGCUUAGACAUGAUGCAUACCUGGAGCAAUGUAGCCGUAGGAACCUGCAAUGUUGGUCAUUGUCUCGUCGUCGCUACCUUUGAGUAGCUUUGUGAUUCCAAAGUCUGCUAGCUUUGGUUCGUAGUCAGCGUCCAGCAGAAUGUUGGCUGACUUGACGUCUCUGUGCAGGAGCGGCGGGGAGCAAUCGUGAUGAAGGUAUGAUAGAGCUUGUGCUGCUCUCAAAGCGAUCCUGUAGCGGGUGUUCCAGUCCAGGUUCGCGACUUUCUUGCUGUGUAGGACGUCUCUCAGGCUGCCGUUCGGCAUAUACUCGAAGAUGAGCAGGUCCGUAUCAGCGUUCCAGCAGCAGCUUAACAGCCUGACGAUGCUACGGUGUCUUAUGU
rnacentral:lncRNA from 1 species